AGCGAACGCUGGCGGCAGGCCUAACACAUGCAAGUCGAACGAACCUUUCGGGGUUAGUGGCGGAAGGGUGAGUAACACGUGGGAACGUGCCUUUAGGUUCGGAAUAACUCAGGGAAACUUGUGCUAAUACCGAAUGUGCCCUUCGGGGGAAAGAUUUAUCGCCUUUAGAGCGGCCCGCGUCUGAUUAGCUAGUUGGUUGAGGUAAUGGCCCACCAAGGCGACGAUCAGUAGCUGGUCUGAGAGGAUGAUCAGCCACAUUGGGACUGAGACACGGCCCAAACUCCUACGGGAGGCAGCAGUGGGGAAUCUUGCGCAAUGGGCGAAAGCCUGACGCAGCCAUGCCGCGUGAAUGAUGAAGGUCUUAGGAUUGUAAAAUUCUUUCACCGGGGACGAUAAUGACGGUACCCGGAGAAGAAGCCCCGGCUAACUUCGUG
rnacentral:rRNA from 1 species